UAGCUCUAAAGAAAGAAGGGUAUUCAUUUCACUCCUAGAUUGCUCCCUAGCUGGUGAAGGGAAGACACACCAUGG
rnacentral:snoRNA from 1 species